UAAGGAAUAUUGGUCAAUGGACGCAAGUCUGAACCAGCCAUGCCGCGUGAAGGAUGAAGGUCCUCUGGAUUGUAAACUUCUUUUAUAGGGGGCGAAAAAAGGUCUUUCUAGAUCACUUGACAGUACCCUAUGAAUAAGCACCGGCUAACUCCGUGCCAGCAGCCGCGGUAAUACGGAGGGUGCAAGCGUUAUCCGGAUUCACUGGGUUUAAAGGGUGCGUAGGCGGGUAGGUAAGUCAGAGGUGAAAUCCUGGAGCUUAACUCCAGAACUGCCUUUGAUACUAUCUAUCUUGAAUAAGGUGGAGGUAAGCGGAAUAUGUCAUGUAGCGGUGAAAUGCAUAGAUAUGACAUAGAACACCUAUUGCGAAGGCAGCUUACUACGCCUAUAUUGACGCUGAGGCACGAAAGCGUGGGGAUCAAACA
rnacentral:rRNA from 1 species